rnacentral:RNase_P_RNA from 1 species
GAAGCUGAUCAGACAGUCGCCGCUUCGUCGUCGUCCUUUCGGGGAGACGGGCGGAGGGGAGGAAAGUCCGGGCUCCAUAGGGCAGGGUGCCAGGUAACGCCUGGGGGGGAAACCCACGACCAGUGCAACAGAGAGCAAACCGCCGAUGGCCCACGUAAGUGGGAUCAGGUAAGGGUGAAAGGGUGCGGUAAGAGCGCACCGCGCGGCUGGUAACAGUCCGUGGCACGGUAAACUCCACCCGGAGCAAGGCCAAAUAGGGGUUCAUAAGGUACGGCCCGUACUGAACCCGGGUAGGCUGCUUGAGCCAGUGAGCGAUCGCUGGCCUAGAUGAAUGACUGUCCACGACAGAACCCGGCUUAUCGGUCAGUUUCACUU